GACGAACGCUGGCGGCGUGCUUAACACAUGCAAGUCGAGCGGUAAGGCCCUUUCGGGGGUACGACGAGCGGCGAACGGGUGAGUAACACGUGGGUGACCUGCCCUCAGCUCUGGGAUAAGCCCGGGAAACUGGGUCUAAUACCGGAUAUGACUCCAUGACGCAUGUUGUGGGGUGGAAAGCCUUGUGCGGCUGAGGAUGGGCCCGCGGCCUAUCAGCUUGUUGGUGGGGUGAUGGCCACCAAGGCGACGACGGGUAGCCGGCCUGAGAGGGCGACCGGCCACACUGGGACUGAGAUACGGCCCAGACUCCUACGGGAGGCAGCAGUGGGGAAUCUUGCGCAAUGGGCGAAAGCCUGACGCAGCGACGCCGCGUGAGGGAUGACGGCCU
rnacentral:rRNA from 1 species